CUUUUCCGAUCUAAUGAAUAUGUUCCUGAGCUGCUGCAUGGCUGUUUGAGUGCUCAGUGGAAGUAACUGAAUCAAUUGUGAAAACAUCGUUUAG